rnacentral:rRNA from 1 species
GAUGAACGCUGGCGGCGUGCUUAACACAUGCAAGUCGAACGGUGAAGGCGGAGCUUGUUCUGCUGGAUCAGUGGCGAACGGGUGAGUAACACGUGAGCAAUCUGCCCCUGACUCUGGAUAAGCGUUGGAAACGGCGUCUAAUACUGGAUACGAGCUGCGAAGGCAUCUUCAGCAGCUGGAAAGAACUUCGGUCAGGGAUGAGCACGCGGCCUAUCAGCUUGUUGGUGAGGUAACGGCUCACCAAGGCGUCGACGGGUAGCCGGCCUGAGAGGGUGACCGGCCACACUGGGACUGAGACACGGCCCAGACUCCUACGGGAGGCAGCAGUGGGGAAUAUUGCACAAUGGGCGAAAGCCUGAUGCAGCAACGCCGCGUGAGGGACGACGGCCUUCGGGUUGUAAACCUCUUUUAGCAGGGAAGAAGCGAAAGUGACGGUACCUGCAGAAAAAGCGCCGGCUAACUACGUG